CAAGCCUACAUCUGUUCAGAUUCAAAAGGAAAACAUCUCAUAUGCACACAAACACAUCAGGACAGGGAGGAAGAGACAAAAGAAGAAGUCAGUGAUAUGGCUGAAUGCUCUUGGUCAACUCAGGCUAGCCUAGAGAUUUCUAACAGGCAAGAAAACAGGUCACAGAUGGCUGUUCCACAUCCUACACUGCCUAAUGCAAAUGGCUGCAGUGAGUAUAAAGGUCUCUGAUGCGACUGCAGCUGCAGUGCUGAAUUGGUACCCAUGGAAGCUCUGGCUCAGGAGUAACAGAAAACACUGCUUCAGAAAAGUAUUACUGAGCAUUUUUGGAUAACAGCAGCUAAUGCAGAAUGAUGACUUUUGAAGGAAAAUAUAGAAUGUUAUUUUAAGGGAAAGGAAUAACCUAUACUAGUCUAUAAUGUCAGCAACGUUCUUGAGGAGUCAUGAAGAAAUUUCAUCACUGAAUGGUGAUAUCUGGAAUGCGCUUCCUGAAUUAUUUGUCCUAGCACAGACAAAGUUUAUUGAGCACUUGACUGAUAAGUAAAAUAGACAAUUCUUGCCUCAAGGACAAGAAUGUGAACAUGGGAGGAGUAGAAGACAAAGAAAAACAAAGGCUGAAAAAGGAGGAAAGGAAGCCAAGAACAUUCAUUUGGCUAAUUAAUUUUCUUAAGCAUGCUCCAGAAAGGUUCCAGUUUAUAUGAAUAUGUACAUUAUGGAUUAGCAUAGUUAUUCCAUAGUGUAAGUUAUUCCACAGUGCAAUUUCAUAUAUAUACUGAUGGUUACCAAUCAGUAUGUUAUAUCCAAGCCUGUUGAGUUUCUACUGUCAUUUAGUAGCAAAACAAGAUGAAAAGUUAUAUAGGCUUAUCUGCACUUCUGUAGCAGGGAUCCAAUAUCUUUGCUUUACAGUUCUGAGCAAGAAUCUCACCUACUUAUAAGCAUAUUUUGGGAAAUGAUUAGAAGUGAAGGCCAACCUUAUAAAUGUAAGUAUAGGGAUCCUACAGGAUGUGCGCUAUCAGCAUAAGUAUUCUCUGUUUUAAGAUGGAGGAGGUGGAUUAAAGCUGUUGAUUAGUAUAUGAGAAGAGAGGUACCAGUAACCUGCAAGUGUUUUAGAUCUCUCUUUUUCUUCCUUACUUUUAAUUAUAUGGAUCAAAAAUACAGUCAUCCUGACAUCUCUUGCUGGUUUGGUAGUAUCCUCAUUAUAGAGAAGCAUAAGCUUUCCUCUCUGCUUAAUAUCAAAAAAUGCUGAAGAGUCAGUAAGUCAUUUUAGGCUUAUUUGUUAUCAGAUCUAGUGCCUCAGCCAUCUGCCUCAACAGCUCUUCAAACUGUUGAUAGUUGUCUGGCAGUGAGACUAUAACUACUGCCUCCAAAUCCUCAGGAGCUGUUCAGAAAGGAAGGCUGAUAGCAGUUUAUUCACAUAUCCUCACCAUUGUAAUAUAUCCAUAUCUAGCAGCUCAGAUUGGUAUAGACAGGGGUUACGAUUCUAGAUCUUUAGGGGAAGUGGUACUAUAAGGUAAGAACUAGGUUUUACAGGAUAGGAACAAUAAUAAUGCUCAUAAUUUUCAGCUAACAGACUGACUUGAUUUCACAUACCCAUCGAAGACAACUGUGAGAACAGCCAGGCAGAAUUAGAAACAUAGUGAGGGAGACAACAUCAUAGUACAAAUCUCUUAUAAACAGAAUUGACAUUUCAGACCAAAUCAAAUUCUGUCAUGUGAGCUCUGCAGGAGAAUCCAUAGGCUUGCACUAGACUUAGUUCACUGCAUAAAGCAGGUGCUACAUUCCCAAGAGUGCCAAAGUGAGUAGAAGGCUGAGUGUGGAGUCUCACAGAGGCAGCCAGUGGGAAACAGCAAGCAGAACCAACUGUCUAAAAUCUUGCUUUUCCCUCAAGGCUCAGGUUUUUGCAUCCAUCCUGAUGCUACAACCCAGAACCUUUCCUUAAGAUAUCUGUCUUCCUGAUAGAUAUCCAUUCCUUUUCCUCCUGGGUGACACUGACUACUUUCUUUAAAGGAAGUUGUGCCUCAGGACGAUAGUAAUACCUGUUUCCCACAAAUGUGUGUUCUUUCAGUGCUAUGCCCUUUUACAAUAAUAAUGUAAGUUUUCUACAAGUUCUACCGGCUGAAAGAUAGUAUAAGCUAAGGCCUGUUCUGACACCUUGUAUGUGCUGUACACUUGCAAUAUGUAACAACUGAGUUGUGCCAAUCUUUCUCUUGAUACGGGCACGUAUUUGGAUCUCUCCCCUCUACCCAGAUACUUACUUUGUGAGAAACUCUAUCAUUUCUCCAGUUUGACUGAAACAAGACAAUAAGUUAGAAUAUUACAUGAGCUGAGGAGGGCAAAGGCUUACAGCAAAGAAUAAUACUAUGGCCCCAUAAGCCUUGUAUUCUUAGGAAGGCAGGCAAAGAAAGAUGGGUGAGGGCAGUAAUGGCUGCCUUGGUUUUUAUUUUAUGAAAAUCUAGUGGUGGAGGACCCCACCCAGGAAGCCGGAAACACAUACAGCAUUGUUCAGCCCGUGUGGUUUCAAAUCUGAAUCUUUCAUGAUCCAGGACAUUUCACCUAAUUAUCAAAUUAGUUACUCAUAGAGAGAGUCUCUUUUGACCUUUAUGCAUAUGAGUUAGCAAUAAAGAAGCUGUAAGACAGACCUUUUGUUAGAUGAUGAACUCGUGCCAUUUUUUUCGAACAGAGACACCCAAAGUUUAGCACCUGAAUCCAAUUUUAGGCAGCUACCUGAGCAGGCUGAUCCAGAGCCCUUACCAGUUCCCAAAUGAAGGCUGCAGUGAAACAGAACAUCUGUACGUGAGGCUAGCUACUUAAAUACAGAUUUACAUGAAUACAGCUACAGUGCCAAGUUUUAAGUGUUUUGACUUGAACUAACUUCCUAACAGAUGGUUAUUCUGCAUCUAUCUUCAUUUAUUUAUGUCUGUUUAUGUUUACACAGAAGUAAUAACUGAUCUAAAAGUGAUACAAGCUUAUUCCUUGUCUUCUUAUUAAUUUAUAUUGCAAUAACACUUAAAGAUAUGAUUCUACUGUGCAAUCUAAAGAAAUUACAUAAGUAUGGUUUCUCUUUAUCAUACUCAUAGAAGAGUAUAUAUUUAAUAUAUUUAAGAAAUAUUUAAGAAAAAAUGCUACAACUAGAAUGCAAAGUGAACAAAGAUAAAUUAGCAUCAUCUAAUUUGUAACAUUGCUCAAGUUUAAGCUAUAUAUUAACAACAAAAAAAAAAAACAAGAAAAACAAAAACAACAAAAAAAAAAAAAAAAACCCCAAAAAAAAACAAUAAAAAAAAAAAAAAAAAAAAAAAAAGGAGAAAAUAAAGAGAAAAUACAUAAGUAUAUAUAUCAGAAGAUUCAGAAGGUGAAUUCAACAAAAUUCAUCCAACAUUUCUUAAUAACAUAAAUCCCAUGUGAUAUAAAAUGCAGUUCUUGGUGUCACAAGUAGAUGUGUCUGAUUCAGGAAACAAUCAUGUAAGUGUAUAAGUGAUUACAAAAUCAGGAGUAAAGUGUGUUUAUUUAUAUCAAAACAUUUCAUAACUAAAGAAGAAGUAAGCAACCCAAACAUCUACAAAGUAUUAAGAAAUGAACAGCCUGGUACUGCUAUCAGCUAUAUUCAUACCUCGCCAUGUAAAUCAAUGAGUUUCAGAACCAUAAAUGAGCAAGUUAGCUCCUGUCUGUUCACUACAACGAUCAAUUAGCUUAUCUGCAAUAUCAAAAGUACUAACUACAUUUUUAUCUCACAGUUUUUUUCACAGUACCAAAAGUGCAAGAAAAUCACAGCCAUCCAUUAUCCUUCUAACCAGAAAAGGCACAUGUGACUAUUAGACUUCGGCAAUAAAUACCAUGAGAAAGAAAGCUUUUCAGCUUUGAAGUUGUAGCUAUUGAUAUGUAAGUUGUAAUAUUCAAGGAAAACAAACUUUGCUGUGUUCAUUUCCUUACAUUAUCGCAACAUGCAUUUUUAAUGCAUGUUGUUAACUACAACCACCUGAAGAAGAUUCGGAAGAUCAUUACAGUUGCCACCAUUUAGUAUACACCUGUAUGUGCACUGAAACACCACUUCAUUUGUACUGAGAGAUCAGAUCUAGAAGGAAAGACAUGAAAAUUUUCCCACUGAACAAUAACGAUUGUUUGUUUCUGUAAGCCAAACAAAAUUUUCAGGAAACAUUAACUCAAAAAAUUAUUGAUGUAGAACAAUUUUCAUCACAUCAGCUGCAGAAUUCCACUGGGGAAAACAGAAAGGAGAAACCCUUAGGCCACAUUUUGUAUGACCUAAUUCUUUCAAGGGCACGUUUCUGCAAAUUUUUAGGAAGUGUCAACGCAAAUGAACUACAGUUCCCACUGUGAUAUUUUCAUGGAAUCUCUGCAUGACCUCCAAACAGCAUACUUUGCACCAAGACAACAAGUACAUAGCUGUGUUGUAUAGUUUUAUUACUUUGGGAUGUAAGCGAGCAGAAAAACAAUUAUCACACAUUCAGCAGAAGCUACACUUCUAUAAAUUUCUGGUAUUCUAGUACUGAGAUUCUCAGUUUCCAGUCUAUACACUGCUACCAGUUAAUGAUUAGUCUGCUACUAUUUUGGUGAAAUUGUACUCCAGUCAAGGGAAAUGAAGUAAAAAAAUGAGGACUAAAAUAAACUAAAAUUGUCAAAGUUUAAUUAGAGCAUCAGCUGGACUCAGCUGUGAUGAGGUCAUCUUUCUAUUAAAUUCAAUACACUGAAUUCACUAAGAGCAAGAUCAAACUCUAUGAUUUUAUUUUCAUUGGUGAAGUUUAAUAGAAACAUGGAUUAACUUUUUCCUCACAUUAUUAAAUUGUUUUAUAUUAACAUAAAGCAGAAUACAAACAUUUUUCUCUCUGAGAGUAAUUUUAGGAUCUGUCCAUUUACUUUCAGUAGGAGCAGUGCCAUGCACUUUAUUUUGAGGGAAACCAUGAUUCUUCAAGAAAGAAAAAUAUUAACUCUUUUGACUUUAUCAGCAUUUCAUUCUAGUGGCUUUCAAUGUCAGACAACAGUUUCUUACUUAUAAGAUUUUAAAUCAUGCUGGUUUGUUUCUAAAUGAGUAGUUGCAGUUCAUAUGAGUAUGCAACUUAAGUUUUUCAUUUAACAACUGAAGAGCACAUUUUAGCUAUAGCUGAUAAAAACAUGAUAAUUAAAAAUAAUGCUUUAAGAAGUCAUAGGAUUUUAUCUCAAAUAAUUAUAUAUAUGCAUAACCUGAUAUUAAAUUCUGUAUUUCUCCUUUAGAACAUUUAAGUAUAAUUAUAUUUCACAUUUGACUCCCCUCACUACCCUUUCUUCUCACUCUCUCCACCCCCAUAUAUUAAUGGGCAUUCACAACAGCUUUACUAGCUAUAUCUAUUGCAAUGUUUCUGGGUUCAUGACAAAUGAGCUCUAACUUGGUACAAAAAGUAUUGAUAAAACCUGAGUGCCCAUAAACAUAUGUUGCACUGAAAUAUUAUGUAUGAAGCUUUUCAUCCCUCCACCUAUUAUUUAAUAAAGAAAGGUCAAAAAUAAUUUAGGUAAGGCAGAAUAGCAUGUUAAAUGAAAAAGGUCAGAUGCAGAUAAUACACAUUUUUCACUUUAAAUCGUACAUAAAGUUUAUUUGUAGACCUUUGAAGUGGAUGGGAAACUUGAGUGUUUACUCAGCUGGAACUUUAGGUAUUUCAUAUAUAAUGCAUAUGUUCCCGUAAAUAGUCUAAACUGACUACUACAAGCAUAGUGGGAUGUUGUAUGCACAUUUCGAAUGUUCCAUAAAACAGAUCAAAAAUAUAAUCUGGGCAUCAAUUGUUUAAUGCUUCACAGUGACUAUUCACCGGUAGGUACAUUGAUAAAAUUUUGUAUAUAAUUUUCUAAGAGAACCACAACCUCCUAUUCCUUAAUUAGUCUAUGAAUACAAGGAAAUAUAUAGGGAACACAUAUACUGCCUCUAUAUAUUUUUUCUUUUUAAUUCUGGAUUUCCUCAGAAAUUAUUUUCAUAAUCAUCCUUAAUGUACACUUCUAUAUUCACAGGAAUAUUUUCAUUGAGGAAAAACUGUUAAAGUCCAUAAUCUCAGCUGUCAAUAGUUCCAUCAUGCCAUUUCUUCAUCUCUAAUGUGUGUAACAUUCUCAGCUUUCACCUUUCCCAGUGUCUCACAGAAAUCAGCUCUUAGGAUAGAGCAGUUGUGCAAAUUCAGAUUUCAUCAAGAUAGAAAAUGAUAAAAGUGAGAAGAGAAUAUUCUGUUGAAUUUUGCUAAAGCUAUAAUCUCCCAGCCUAUCACUUUACUCUGAGAUAUUCUCAUGCUAACCAGACCAUCAAAGCAAUCCAUUUGUAUUACUUGGCAUUGUAGAGUGACUGAAUAGUUUAAAAUUUUGAAAAAGGCCUUUUUCCACCUGAGUGACUAGAAAGCUGUAUCCAAGCCUUCUGUAUAAUGAUUAGGCCCUGGCUUGCUCAUUGAAAACUGUUGGAAUGAAUUACUGAAAUUCAUAUUACUUUGAUACAAGUACAUUAUUGUUAUCCUUUAAAAUUGCUAAGCCAAAGGUGUGGUCUCCAUCCUAAAUGUCAAAGUCCUUUAAGAAAUGUUUUACCUACAUUCUUCAGAGUAUAUUUCUCCAACAGAAGACUGUCAUCCUCAGUUGCUUUCUUUUGCAUUAACCAUGAUCUAUCAAUCUGAAAAACAAAGCUCAUGGGAGCAGAAUAUAGGCUAAUUCAAUAAACAGAACAAAAGAUUUCAAAUUCCCUGUCAGAGGAUAUUAGAUUGACCACAGUUCUCUGAGCUUUCUGAACAAAGCUGAAAAUUCACUUCAAAUUAGUAUCCUCAUAGCCACUAUACAAAGUAGCUAAGAAGAAAAAAAUAGGACAUGGAUCAGGGUGGAAAAGGUGAGAGGUUAAGUGUAAAUUAGAUUGCUGAGCUAUAUUGUGAUUCUAAUUAGUUUUUGGAAACUACUCAAAUCCUAUGACAGGUAACAUUAAAAUAUUUAUAUGAGAAGGUGAGAAAUACUUUGCUCUGCAAAAGUAUUUAAUGCUGGGAAAUGUUAUAAGAGAAAACAAGAUAGCUUUUUUUUUUUUUAAUUUACAUUUAAAUAAUCACAUUAAGUAAUAAAUAUUUUGUGGCUGUUAUCAUAACCACAAUUGAUUGCUUAGUUGCAAUAGUUUCUAAAGAGGAAAAUGGUUUAAAAGAUAAGAAAAUGUGCUAUUUAAAAUGCAUGUGUAUAUUACCUUGUAUUUGUAAUAAGAUAUGGAUCAUAACUAUGUAAUUGACUGGCAUUCAAUUAAAAAGCUUGAAAUUAAGUAAAGAUGGCUGUGUAUUGAACUGUUUCCUUUUAGUGCACUUCUGCUGGCAAUUCAACAGAUCACUCUUGAACUGUAUCAUCAAGGGUGUAGAAUUGUAAGUUGAAGAGCAGAGUCAGAGAUAAUCAACAUGCUUAUCUGUCCUUCAGAGCUGUUAUCCUGGGCAGUGCACAUUUUGUCUCCAUCUUUUGAACUAAGCAGAGAAUUAGAAAAAAAAAGGAAAAAAGUACUUUUUUUUUUUUUUUCAGAAAGUUGAAUUUCAACUAGCAUAAGAUAAUUUAUUUGGAGUGAUAAGCAUUUAUAUGAGCUGAAGAUCUGGCCAAUUCUAUUACUGUUAAUUAAAAAAGAGGAAGAGUUUUUUUUUUUUUUUUUUUUUUUUUUUUUACAAAGACUAAUUAAUUUAUUAUUUU